UACGUAGGGGGCAAGCGUUGUUCGGAAUUACUGGGCGUAAAGGGCGCGUAGGCGGCAUGGCAAGUCGGGAGUGAAAGCCCGGGGCUCAACCCCGGAACUGCUUUCGAAACUGCCAAGCUAGAGUACGGAAGGGGCAACUGGAAUUCCCAGUGUAGCGGUGAAAUGCGUAGAUAUUGGGAAGAACACCGGAGGCGAAGGCGGGUUGCUGGGCCGAUACUGACGCUGAGGCGCGAAAGCCAGGGGAGCAAACGGG
rnacentral:rRNA from 1 species